AUGGCCUCAGCUUGGAAGAGCUAUAGAAAGAUCCAGAAGAGGUAAAAGGUGUUGCUGGAAAAGGCAACUAGGAAAACGGUGCGUGAUGCCCUUCCAGCUGAAAAAUCCAAGACUGAGACAGAAAUGAACAGGAUGCGGCAGAAAUCACAGAGGAAAGCAGAACUCCUUGACAGCGAAAAGCCAGCUGCGGUGUUUGCUCCCAUUGCAGGGGACCUACAGUGACACUCGGUGACUAUGCACGGGGUCAGCCAGGUGAGGAGGCCAAGUUCCCGCUGAGAACGUGCAGAUGCGCUCCCCAGAGAGGUCGUGUGAUCUCUUGGUGUAGGAUCUAACUGGGCAGGGUUAUCCGUGAGUGUGAACAAUCCAUUGACACCCACUCCUGUGGAAGGCAAGGCGGAUACAGUUCUUAUCUUCUGUAGAAGGAAAGCGGAAAACACGGGGUGGGAUCACCUGACUCAGGUUGAAAAAGGGUACAAAGAAACCGAAAAGACCCCCUACGACACUGAAACAGACUCCAGGGAGGGGCUGAUGAACGUUCUAGGGGAAGUGGAUGAGGACGGAGAUGAGGCUGUGGAGAGAAAGAUUCAUAAAGCCUGGCUGGAAUCAGGAGAGAAACGAGACGAGG
rnacentral:lncRNA from 1 species